GGAGGUGGUGAAGGUGUAGGGAGAGAAGAGAAGGUAUGAAAUCAUCACCUGGGAGAGUGGGAGACAGAAAAGACAAGAGAAGUAUAAUAUGUUUGUGGAGCAUCAUUCAGGGCCCACGGGAUUUUUAUCAGCAAUGUAAAGGGUGAACAGAGGCUGACUGAGUCUGUUCUCCAGCCAUGGGGCGGUGCAGGCCCAGAGUGGCUGGAGAGCUCCAUUCAACCAGAGUUGUGGUUUCAUCAGGAGAGAGCCUGAAAGCGAGAGAGAGAAAUAACAGCAAACAAGUACAAGAAAGAGAGAGAGAGAGACAGCAAGAAUUACAGCCUGUAUGGAAGACGACUCUAAAUAAUGAUGAUAAUAUUGGUGGAAUCAAAGCAUCUAGAAGACCAUGCAUUCCAUUUUAAAUCUAGUUGAGAUGGCAUAAUUCAUACCUCCUCAAAUUUGGACAAUUAUAAAUGACUCAACCAGCAGGUGCCAAAUUGCACCUAUACCCUGAGUAUACCUGAAGCAACCACUUAAACCCAAGCUAAUAGCCAGAUGUAUGCUCACUGAAUGGAUAACUUACCUAACCUUGAGAAGCUCCUUAAAGUACUCUCCUGAUCUUCUGGCAAAUAAUUCAGCAAACAUCUUUCGUUGCUUGAGAAUGCCCUGGGAGGCCUCCUCCUUAUCCUCAGUAAGCUUGUCAGUGUGUUUCUUCCAAGCACAUACAGCACUUUCCCAAAGAGAUCUAAUAAAAUAAAAACUUUCCUCUUCUCAUUAUAA